rnacentral:rRNA from 1 species
AGCCUACGGGGCGCAGCAGUGGGGAAUAUUGCACAAUGGGGGAAACCCUGAUGCAGCAACGCCGCGUGAGUGAAGAAGUCAUUCGUGAUGUAAAGCUCUAUCAGCAGGGAAGAAAAUGACGGUACCUGACUAAGAAGCCCCGGCUAACUACGUGCCAGCAGCCACGGUAAUACGUAGGGGGCAAGCGUUAUCCGGAUUUACUGGGUGUAAAGGGAGCGUAGACGGUGUGGCAAGUCUGAAGUGAAAGCCCGGGGCUCAACCCCGGGACUGCUUUGGAAACUGUCGUGCUGGAGUGCUGGAGAGGG